GAACCGUCCAAACGUUAUUCGGGAAUCACUGGGGCUUAAAGGGUGCGUAGGCGGCCCUGCAAGUUGGGGGGUGUGAAAUCCCACGGGCUCAACCGUGGGAAUUGCGCUCAAAACUGCAGGGCUAGAGGGAGAUAGAGGUGAGCGGAACUAAUGGUGGAGCGGUGAAAUGCGUUGAUAUCAUUAGGAACACCGGUGGCGAAAGCGGCUCACUGGAUCUCUUCUGACGCUGAGGCACGAAAGCUAGGGUAGCGAACGGGAUUAGAUACCCCGGUAGUCCUAGCUGUAAACGAUGAGCACUGGGUUGGAGGCUCCUCCAUAGGCUUCCGGCCGAAGCGAAAGUGUUAAGUGCUCCGCCUGGGGAGUAUGGUCGCAAGGCUG
rnacentral:rRNA from 1 species